rnacentral:rRNA from 1 species
UACGAAGGGGGCUAGCGUUGCUCGGAAUUACUGGGCGUAAAGCGCACGUAGGCGGCUUCUUAAGUCGGUGGUGAAAUCCUGGAGCUCAACUCCAGAACUGCCUUCGAUACUGGGAAGCUCGAGUCCGGGAGAGGUGAGUGGAACUGCGAGUGUAGAGGUGAAAUUCGUAGAUAUUCGCAAGAACACCAGCGGCGAAGGCGGCUCACUGGCCCGGUACUGACGCUGAGGUGCGAAAGCGUGGGGAGCAAACAGG